UACAAUCUACUAUGUGGAUGACUUGGCUUGAGUAGCGAUGAAGGGCGUGGUUAGCUGCGAUAAUCUCAAGGUAGGAGCAUACUUCCUUUGAACUUGGGGUUCCUGAAUUGGACUUCCUUAUAUUCGCUUAGUCGAAGGCAUCACCUGGGGAACUGAAACAUCUUAGUACNNGAAAAGAAAUCAACAGAGAUUCCGUUAGUAAGGGCGAUUGAAAGCGGAAUAGGUCAAACUGAAUCGUUUGUAGCAAUACUUUCGAGAUGUGGUGUUUAGUACCAAUUUCUACCUGUGGUGGCUGGCAAAAUAUAUCUGGAAUGAUAAACCAGAGAGGGUGAUAGUCCCGUAUGUCAGACAUAGCAGGGCAAUAUUUGGAUUACUAGAGUAGUGUCUCUUGGAAAUGAGGCAUGAAUAUGGGGCUCACUAAGCUCCAAACCUAAAUAUAACUCAAGACCGAUAGCGUAAAGUACCGUGAGGGAAAGUUGAAAAGGAGCUUUAAUAGGCUUUGAAAAGAUCUAAAACAUAGUAGAUAUAGGAUGAUGCGGCUUUUAGGAGUUGCAUCGUACGUUUUGAAUAACGGGCCAGGGAGUGGAUUUUAAUGGCGAGACGAAAGUCGAAGGGAAACCGAGUUGCCGCACAUUAGGAGGGCAAGGGUGUUAAUAGUGCCUUUAGUCAUUGGGAUCCGACCCGAAACCAGAUGAUCUAUACCUGAGCAGGUUGAAGCGGGGGUAAAACCUCGUGGAGGACCGAAGAAGUGUCAAGUCUAUCGACUUUCGUGACUUGGGUAUAGGGGUGAAAAGCCAAUCGAAUCUGGUGAUAGCUGGUUCCAGCCAAAAUUGGCCUUAGUCAAGUCUUCAUGGAGAUAGGUUCCUGGGGUAGAGCUACGGAUUGGUGUUUUGGGGGGCAACUGUCCUUCAAGCAUCAGUCCAACUCCGAAUUCAGGAACUUCGUAGAUAUGAGGAAACGGCAAUGCGUGGGGUAAACUUGCAUUGCGUGAGGGGAACAACCCAGACUAUAGUUAAGGCCCCUAAGUGUCCAUUAAGUGAUAAAGGGUAAAGGGUGUUCGUGUUCGAAGACAAAAAGGAGGUUUGCUUAGAAGCAGCAAUCCCUUAAAGAGUGCGUAACAGCUCACUUUUCGAGAACAUGUGCCCCGAAGAUAAACGGGUCUAAAUGGACUGCCGAUACUAUAGUUCAGAUACACGGUGUCUGUAAGGUAGGCUGGUGCUGAGCAAGGGUAGAAGCUAGACUUUAAGGUUUUAGUGGACCUUGUUGAGAUAAGAAUCCUGGUGGUAGUAGGAAAUUAGCGGUGUGAGAUUCACCGUGGACGAAAGGGCAAGGGUUCCUUCUCACUGUAGUUCAGAGNNAAACAGGUUAAUAUUCCUGUACUUUCUGGAUAGAGAUGGUAACACAAGGUGAUAUUUAGACGGCUGGGGCUAUCUGCAGCUAUGCAUGCAUAGUUCAAGAAGUACGAGACUGUGGAGUGUAGUCAUUACGAGAAGCAGUUUAAACUUUGAUGAUUCAAGUGCGGUUAUGCCUAGGCUCUUUGAAAAUAAAUAUCAUUCAAUUCCAGAUACAUGUACCCACAACCGGCACAGGUGCCCCUAGGUGAAAAGCCUAAGUCCUGUAAGGGUAAUCUUUGUAAGGGAAUUCGGCAAAUUAGCCACAAAACUUCGGAAUAUGUGGUCCCUAAACUAGGUAUUUAAAGAUCUAACUUUAGGGUGCAAUAACAAAGAUGGUCCGACUGUUUAAUUAAAACAUAGGGAACUGCUAGUCCGUAAGGAUGCGUAUAGUUCCUGAAGUCUGCCCACUGCCAGUAACUAAAACUCCUUUUCAAGGGAGCCAAGGUCUGGUAAAGGGCGGGGAUAACUAUGAUCCUCUUAAGGUAGCGAAAUGCCUUGCCGUUUAAAUGGCGGCUUGCAUGAAUGGCGUAACGAGAUUGUCACUGUCCCUACAAAGAACCUUCCGAACACACUAUCCCGGUGCAAAAGCCGGGGACUCCAAGUGGGAAGUAAAGACCCCGUUGAACUUUACUGCAGCCUGCUAUUGUGAUCAGUCCUGUAAUGUAACAGGGAGUUUCGACGACAAGGUAGUACCUGUCGUUAUGGAACUGGUUGCUUAUCUCUCAUAGAGAAACAGUAGUUGGUGGGCAGUUUGGCUGGGGUGGCACCCUGCUGAAAUGGUAUCAGCAGGGCCCAAAGGUUGGCUCAGUCGGUUUAGAAAUCCGACGUAGAGUGUAAGGGCAAAAGCCAGCUUUAUUCUGAUUACCACUANNCUAUACUAAUCGGAAUUGGGAAACCAUGGCCUAACGAUCUCCAAUGUGCUUCUUAGUGAGGCCUUGGAUUGACAGAAAAGUUACCACGGGGAUAACAGAGUUGUCGCUCCCGAGCGUUCACAGCGACGGAGCGGUUUGCUACAUCGAUGUCGGCUCAUCCUAACCUGGCAGUGCAGAAGCUGCCAAAGGUGGGGGUGUUCACCCAUUAAAAGGGUUCGUGAGCUGGGUUUACAACGCUGUGAGGCAGUUGGUAUAAUAUCUGCUUGGAGUGCAUUGGUAUCUGCGAGAAAGACUCAUUUAGUACGAAAGGAACGGUGUGUCGCGGCCUCUGGUGGAUCUGUUGUCCAUAUGGGCAUGCAGAGCAGCUACGCCGUCGAGGAUAAAGGCUGAAAGCAUCUAAGCCUGAAACUUCCCUCUAAAAAAGAUACUUGCUUUGGGAUAAAAGAUCCCUUUGAUAGGCUGGGGGUGUACGAUGGAAGCUUUUGCGACCAUUUUAGCCCGCCAGUACUAAUCGAGCUUUAUGAAAUGU
rnacentral:rRNA from 1 species